rnacentral:lncRNA from 1 species
CAUGGCCUGGGAUUAGGUGAACAGAAGGCCACGGGGAUCCUUCACUCACACUCUUGCUUUCUUGUUAGAAUCUGCUUUUUACUUUUCCUGAACUUCUGAACUUGGAUUAGGAAGCAGUUGGCCGGCUUCUUGAGAAAGAAAGGGAUCAAAACAAAGAGAAGAGAAUAAGAAAACUCAUCUACAGUGAAGUUUCUGUGUUUUCAGGGAACGUCUCAGCCUAAUACAGAUCCAGGCACUUCCAGAGGACAGACAGCAUAGAACAAAUAAAGUGUCUUUAUGGAAAAAGAGAGGGAGAUUUGGACACAUACAGAGGCACAGGGGAAGAAGGCCAUGUGGAGAUGAAGACAGAAGUUAGAGUGAUGCAGCUCCAAGCCAAGGUAUGCCACGGGGUGCCAGAAGCCACCGGAAACUGGAGGAAGACAUGGAACAGAUUCUCCCUCAGAACCUCCAGAAAGAAUAACCCUGUUAAUGCUCUGAUUUCAUACUUCUGGCCUCCAGAUGCAGAGAAUCAACAGUUGUUUUAAGCCACCGAGUUUGUGGUGAUUUGUUACAGCAGCCCUAGGAAGCUAAUAUAUAACCCAUAGUCCUCAAUUUCAGACCCAGCCUCAGGUGGCCUGUGGAAAUAUGGGCUGCAUGUUUAAUUAUUUAGCAAUUGAGUAGAGAUUAAUUUUCAUUCCGCCUCAAUUCUUUUCUUCUUGAAUGCUCCAUAUACGUAAGCAAAUCCACAUGGAUAAGUGCUCAUGAUAGACUCAGGGGUCAGGGGGAAUCAUAUGAAAUGCUCAAAUCAGUUUUUUCAUUCUCUGAUUAAUCUAGAGAUGAUGUACUUAAAUUGCUCCAUUUUAA